rnacentral:rRNA from 1 species
GAUGAACGCUGGCGGCGUGCCUAAUACAUGCCAGUCGAGCGAACGGACGAGAAGCUUGCUUCUCUGAUGUUAGCGGCGGACGGGUGAGUAACACGUGGAUAACCUACCUAUAAGACUGGGAUAACUUCGGGAAACCGGAGCUAAUACUGGAUAAUAUUUUGAACCGCAUGGUUCAAAAGUGAAAGACGGUCUUGCUGUCACUUAUAGAUGGAUCCGCGCUGCAUUAGCUAGUUGGUAAGGUAACGGCUUACCAAGGCAACGAUGCAUAGCCGACCUGAGAGGGUGAUCGGCCACACUGGAACUGAGACACGGUCCAGACUCCUACGGGAGGCAGCAGUAGGGAAUCUUCCGCAAUGGGCGAAAGCCUGACGGAGCAACGCCGCGUGAGUGAUGAAGGUCUUCGGAUCGUAAAACUCUGUUAUUAGGGAAGAACAUAUGUGUAAGUAACUGUGCACAUCUUGACGGUACCUAAUCAGAAAGCCACGGCUAACUACGUG